rnacentral:rRNA from 1 species
UACGAAGGGGGCUAGCGUUGUUCGGAAUUACUGGGCGUAAAGGGCGCGUAGGCGGUGUGUCAAGUCAGGCGUGAAAGCCCCGGGCUCAACCUGGGAACAGCGCUUGAGACUGGCACGCUCGAGUUCGGGAGAGGAUGGUGGAAUUCCUGGUGUAGCGGUGAAAUGCGCAGAUAUCAGGAAGAACACCCGUGGCGAAGGCGGCUCUCUGGGCCUGUACUGACGCUGAGGAGCGAAAGCGUGGGGAGCGAACAGG